GAUGAACGCUGGCGGCGUGCUUAACACAUGCAAGUCGAACGGUGAACGAGGGAGCUUGCUCCCUCCGGAUCAGUGGCGAACGGGUGAGUAACACGUGAGCAAUCUGCCCUGGACUCUGGGAUAAGCGUUGGAAACGACGUCUAAUACCGGAUACGAGGCGUGGGGGCAUCCCCAACGCCUGGAAAGAACUUCGGUCCAGGAUGAGCUCGCGGCCUAUCAGCGAGUUGGUGAGGUAACGGCUCACCAAGGCGACGACGGGUAGCCGGCCUGAGAGGGUGAACGGCCACACUGGGACUGAGACACUGCCCAGACUCCUACGGGAGGCAGCAGUGGGGAAGAUUGCACAAUGGGCGCAAGCCUGAUGCAGCAACGCCGCGUGAGGGACGACGGCCUUCGGGUUGUAAACCUCUUUUAGCAGGGAAGAAGCGAAAGUGACGGUACCUGCAGAAAAAGCACCGGCUAACUACGUGCCAGCAGCCGCGGUAACAC
rnacentral:rRNA from 1 species